CAAUAGCGCAUAUUUAAGUUGCUGCAGUUAAAAAGCUCGUAGUUGGAUUUCGGGUGGGAAUGGCCGGUCCGCCGUUUCGGUGUGCACUUGCUACGCCCACCUUGCUGCCGGGGACGUGCUCUUGAGUUCACGCUCGGGACACGGAGUCGGCGAGGUUACUUUGAGUAAAUUAGAGUGUUCAAAGCAGGCCUACGCUCUGAAUACAUUAGCAUGGAAUAACACGAUAGGACUCUGGCCUAUCUUGUUGGUCUGUAGGACCGGAGUAAUGAUUAAGAGGGACAGUCGGGGGCAUUCGUAUUUCAUUGUCAGAGGUGAAAUUCUUGGAUUUAUGAAAGACGAACUACUGCGAAAGCAUUUGCCAAGGAUGUUUUCAUUGA
rnacentral:rRNA from 1 species